AAUUUCAAAGAAUGAAAUAGUUAUUGAAUUUCAGCUAUUCCGGAGUGCUUUUUGUAUUUCAGUUAAUGUUAUCUUGUUUUCACUUUGCCGAUAUAGAGAAGUACAAGAUCAUAAGAGUCAAAGAUCACAUGGAUAGGAAGAGACUUUUCACGCUGCAGGGUGGAAAUGGCUAACACCAGAGAGGAUAAUGUUAAAGUGAUUGAAGCAAAGUCCAGGGGGUGUCAGAGACUGGAUGCUCCAAACAGUUGUAGCUCGUAUCCCAUGGCACAUCCUAUGCUGAAAACUCAAGUUAUGUGUUGUGUUGACUUCCGGCCAAAAUGGUGUUCAAGCCAUAGUCUCCAUCAAGAUCGUGGCUCAAAGCUACUCCAAAGUCUCCUCUGAAACCUGCACUCUCAAGAAAGGACCGUGCCAGGAUGCAAAAAGGAACAGCAUCACCUCUAACUGAUCUGAUUUACUGCUUUGGGAGUUCCAAGCUGUUGUACAAUCAAAAUAUCCUCUGGAACAGUAAUGGACUUAACAGUCAACAAAACUUCAAGAUAGCUUCACUGGCAUGAAGCAUGAAUGGACAGUUUGAGAUCUUUAAAAGGGGGAGAAUGAUGCAACAGUCAGCUAAAUUCACAACUCAAAGCCAAUCACACAGACGCCGCUCAGCCUGCUGAGUGUUUCUGUUUUGCAGUUUUGCUUUGGUCACUGGGAAAACCCCUUGUGGCUUGAAGGGAGAUGCGAGAAAUUCAUUGGUCAGGGCAUUGAGUGCAAGUAUUUGGACAUCACAUCACAGUUCUAGAAGACACCUGUGUAUUGUGCACACUUCUGCUGGCUCGGUAAAGGAAGAAUGGAAACAGUUCGCAAAGAAUGUUACCAGGACUGGAAGGCUUGUGCUACAAGGAUAGGUGGGGACAAUUUUCCCUGAGCAUAAGAGUCUAAAGGUUGACUUUACAGAAGUUCAUAUACUAAUGAGGAGCAGAGUUAAGGUGAUUUGUCACAAUGCUUUUCCGCAGAGUAUGGGAGUCUAAAAUUAAAGGGCAUUGGUUAGUUCCUCUCCAUGACUGGAGGCACGUCAGGUGGGAACCUUGCGGUUUCUCUUAGCAUUUGUCUGUGUUUUUUAUGAGGCUGAGUUACCAGCUCGACGCUCAACCCAGCACAGAUGGAAUGCAUGCGAGGAGCCAGCCGGAUUUGAACCCAGGACCACUUGCCUCAAAGUCUGGUGCAGAGGCCACUAUACCACCAGCAAGCAUUAGGGUAAGAGGGGAAAGAUUUACACAAAGAAUCUGAGGGGAUAAUGGAACGAGCUGCCAGAGGAAGUGAUAGAAGAGGGUACAAUUGUGAUGUUUAGAAGUCAUUGGACUGAUGCAUGGGACAGCAAGGACGUGUUGGGCCAAAGGGCCUGUUUUGAAGCUGUAUAAAUCUCUUCUGAUUCAGAUUCAUUUAUUGCCAUAUGCAUCACUAUUCAAUGAAAUUCCUUGCUCACAUCAGGCUCAGGGUCCGAACCGUGUACCCAGCAAUAAUAAAAUGCUGGAGGAACUCAGCAGCAAGUCAGGCAGCAUCUGUGGAAAUGAAUAAACAGUCGAAGUUUCAGGCUGAGUUCUUUGUCAUGAUGAAGGGUCUUGGUCCAAAUGUCCACAGUUUAUUCCCUUCCAGAGAUGCUGCCUGACCAGUUGAGUUCCUCCAGCAUUGUGUGUGUUGCUCUGGAUUUCCAGCAUCUGUAGAACCUCUUAUGUUAAUGCAUGCAGCAACAAUAGCAACACACACACACACGUGUGUGUGUAUAUUAUGUAUAUAUAUACAUACACACACACACUACACACACACACAUAUAUAUAUAUAUAUAUAGGCAUCCAUUAGUCUCGUGAGACCAUGGAUUUGUGCCUUGGAAGGUUUCCAGUGCGCAGCCCUGGGCAAGGUUGCAUGGAAGACUAGCAGUGGCCCAUGCUGCAAGUCUCCCCUCUCCAUGCCACCAAUGUUGUCCAAGGGAAGGGCAUUAGGACCCAUACAGCUUGGCAGCGGUAUCGUUGCAGAGCAAUGUGUGGUUAAGUACUUUGCUCAGGGACACAACACGCUGCCUCAGCCAAGGCUCAAACUAGCGACCUUCAAAUCACUAGACAAACACCUUAACCACAUGGCCAUGUGCCAACACAGCAACACAUAAAACCAUAAGAUAUAGGAGCAGAUUUAGGCCAUUUGGCCCAUCAAGUCCACUCCACCAUUUCAUCAUGGCUGAUCCAAUGUUCCUCUUAGCUCCAAUAACCUGCCUCCUCCCCAGAUCCCUUCACACCCUGACCAAUCAAGAACACAGUAAAAAGGUGUUCAUAAUUGCUGUCUGGAAACCUCCCCUGGAUUGGAUGGACUCUUGACCACACUUUCCACUGCCUUAGGGAAAGUAGGUAGCCAAAACUAUUACAACCUACCCCACCAACCCCAGCUGUUCUCUCUUCUCCCCACUCCCUUCAGGCAGAAGAUACGAAAAGGCUGACUUUAAGUGCCACCAGGUUCAAGCUUGGCUUCUAUCCUGCUGUUAUAAGACUCUUAAACUGACCUCUUGUACAAUGAAGAUGAACUCUUGACCUUGUCGUGGCCCUUUCACUUCAUUUGUGUCCCUGCGUUGCGACAUUCCAAAGUACGGAAAUCCCCUCAUCGAGGACAUCUUCAAAAGCCGAUGCCUCCAAAAGGUGGCACCCAUCAUUAAGGGCACCCACCACCCCUCUUCGCAUUGUUACCAUCAGGGAGGAGGCACAGGAACCUGAAGACACACACUGGUAAAGUUUUAGGAACAGCUUCCAUACCUCCACGAUCAGAUUUCUGAACAGUCAAUGGCCCCACGAACACCGCCCCGCUAAUUUUUUUUUCUCUUUUUAUACUAUUUAUG